UUCACAGAGCAGAUGUUCCCGUUUGCUCCCUUGGCCCUCCGUGGCUGAAGCCUCUCCUCUGCCCCAGAGAGCACAUUGUGUCGCUGCUGUGUGUUGGAUCAGGAGCGUAGGAACAGGAAGCAGAGAAUCCCACACUGACAACAGCUUGGCAGGCGAGCUCCUGGGCUGACCCGCAGUGGGGAGGGAACCGGCUACAAUCUCCCAGCAAGUCACCAGGGGCAACGCCCUGGCUGGGACCCAAGUCUCAUGACUUUCAUUCUGGGACCUUUGCCUGCCGUCUUCAACGGAGACCGUAUCAUUCCUGCCUUAUCCCACUCAACUAUCUCUCUAUCCAUUUAUGGAGGUUUUGUAACUCGAAGAACCUAGAUGAGGGAGGAAAAUGAAGAUAUGAAGGGUCAAGAGUUGAGUAAUUUUUGUGGUUGGCAGCCUGGAUCAGUGAGCUGAGUCGAUUGCAGUCAUUCGGGCAGGGAAAGCAGAUCGGACCCUGGCAGCUGAGCAAGGAUUCGGUUCUUUCUGUCUUCAGUGUGUCAGAAUUUCCAGAAUGCAGAGAAAUCAUCUUCCUCUUGAGUCCCCAAGUUAUCUUUUCAGGGGUGGGGGCUUGAGAAAGGAGAAGGGGGAAAGAGAUAGAAGUGGGAGGUAGGGAGGCAGGGACAGGAUUAUUCCAGUUUUGUAUCUGCUAUCUGCUUGCCUCUGCCAAGGCUUCUCACCUAACGCAAACGUGGAGGAUUCUAGGCUGUGCCACACCGGUGAGGCUGUUUUCUGCGUCUGACAGCAGCUUGCCAGAGGAAGUCGACUCCAAACAGGUUUCAAGCUGACAAUCCAAGGCCCCUCACGGGAUCGCCUUGGCAGUUAUUUAGUCCAAGGUACACAGAGCAAGUUUGCUACGUCUGGGUCACUCCGAUAAAUUCUUGAAAACAGGGACCUCAGACACCCAGGAGGGAACAUCAAAGAUCUCCAAGGGCUGGAGCCCAGAGCUGGCAGCUGGCCCGUGUCCUCACUUCACUCCCUCCCUGGGGCUGCAGCAGAAGGAAGCGCAGAGGCGGGUGCUCCUUCCCCUUCUCCGGGCCAUGUGCUCAGCUAUGGCUCCACAAACUCAGGGCUGCUUGACUUGGGAGCAAUUGCAGAAGAACAGUCAGUCCAGCCCUACGCCGUGGUAGCCAGAGAAUGUCAUCACCAACCAGACUACGCCACAGGCUCGGAGGAGGGAGAGCAGGAGAAAGGACCGGCUGGGGUAGGGACUUCUCCAGAAGAUCACCUGGGAACUGGAAGUAGGAUGUAACCAGGAAGCUGCCUUUCUAACAGGCUCAGUCUAUCACUUGGAACAGCACAGGCUGCACACACGAUUCCCUGUGGCUUCUCCAGUUCUGCUAGCCGUGUAACAUUCAGGAGACACCAUGGUGGGAGCUCAGGAGGACCCCGUCCUGGCCCCACCCCGGGCAGCUGUGCCGUGGAACCUGGGCUCUCCACAUCCCUGAUGCCCUGCUGAGCUCCGGGAGGGGCCAACCCAACAAGCUCAGAGCUUCAGAGGAUUCAGUCCAUGGCUGCUUGACUCUUCUAUAUUGGGCCAGUGGUGGCCUAGACCAUCAUGGUAGAAGCAGGUGUCAGUAGAAGAAGCCUAUUCACCUCAUGGCACUUGGGAAACAAAGAGACUGCAAAAGAAGGUGUUGGGGUCCCAACAUCCCUUUCAAGGACAACCCCUCAAUGGCCUAACUUCUGUCUGCUGCAUGAUAACCAACUGUUCUGCCUGCUCACUAGGCCCACUGAGCUAGAGGUUCUGCUGCCUGCACCUCCCCAGAGGUUUCAACACCUGAGCCCUAAGGGAACAUUUAACUGAGGAUUUAACCACAGUACCUGUGGACUUAGUGUGAGCUACCUGCAGUCCCAACUGAUGGCUGUCUGAUCAAGGUUGAAUAUUUUAAGAGUCUGAUUUCUCUGCCUUUACCCUGCCUAGUUUAUUAGACCAAUGAAGGGGGAAAUACGUCUAUAUCUAUAUCUAUAUAUCUCACAUAUAUCAUCAGUCUUUGUAGACACUUGCACAGCUCCUAGGGCAGCAUCUUCUGUAUAGAAAGCCCCACUACAUACUUGUGAAAUGUUUAGUA